GUCCACGCUGUAAACGAUGAGUAUUAAGUGUUGGAGAAAUUCAGUGCUGAAGUUAACAUAUUAAAUACUCCGCCUGAGGACUACGUUCGCAAGAAUGAAACUCAAAGGAAUUGACGGGACCCCCGCACAAGCGGUGGAGCAUGUUGUUUAAUUCGACGCAACGCGAAGAACCUUACCAGGACUUGACAUGGAAUUAAAGGCCCCAGAGAUGGGGAGAUAGUAUAGUUCACACAGGUGGUGCACGGUUGUCGU
rnacentral:rRNA from 1 species